rnacentral:lncRNA from 10 species
CCAGAUGAUAAGGCUUCCAAACUCUUCCUAUAUCUAAAUAAGCGGGUAUUAAAAACAACAAAGGCAGUGGCCAGUAGAAAUGUAUGGGUUCCAGAAAUGAGGCUGUAUUUCUGGGAAGAUGUAAAGGAGCUGCUUUGCUUUUAGGGGAAAGUAGAUAUCAAUACUUUGAAGCCACAAGGACACUAUGAAGAAAACCAUUACUCUUUCAGGUCAAGAGGUGCAAUGACUAUGGAUUAUUUAAAAACUGAAAAGCUAAGCUUGAGUGGCCCAAUAUCAGCAGGAAGUGGUUUUUUUUUUUUGUUUGUUUGUUUUCCUGAGACGGAGUUUUGCUCUUGUUGCCCAGGCUGGAG